AGAACGAACGCUGGCGGCAGGCCUCAAACAUGCAAGUCUAGGGGGCGUAGCAAUACGUCACCGGCGGACGGGUGCGUAACACGUGGGAAUGUACUUAUUGGUUCGGAACAACUCAGGGAAACUUGAGCUAAUACCGAAUGUGCCCGAAAGGGGAAGAUUUAUCGCCAAUAAAUCAGCCCGCGUCCGAUUAGCUAGUUGGUGGGGUAAAGGCCCACCAAGGCGACGAUCGGUAGCUGUUCUGAGAGGAAGAUCAGCCACACUGGGACUGAGACACGGCCCAGACUCCUACGGGAGGCAGCAGUUGGGAAUCUUGGACAUGGGGAAACCUGAUCCAGCCAUGCCGCGUGAGUGAUGAAGGCCUUGGGUUGUAAAACUCUUUCGACGGGGACGAUAAUGACGGUACCCGUAGAAGAGCUCCGGCUAACUUCGCGCCAGCAGCCGC
rnacentral:rRNA from 1 species